rnacentral:pre_miRNA from 1 species
AUCACCACGUUGGGCUGCACCAGCCGUGCCACGUUACGAAACCUAACGCGACGUGACUGAUGCAGGCUGACGUGAUGUGU